GGUUAAGCGACUAAGCGUACACGGUGGAUGCCCUGGCAGUCAGAGGCGAUGAAGGACGUGCUAAUCUGCGAUAAGCGUCGGUAAGGUGAUAUGAACCGUUAUAACCGGCGAUUUCCGAAUGGGGAAACCCAGUGUGUUUCGACACACUAUCAUUAACUGAAUCCAUAGGUUAAUGAGGCGAACCGGGGGAACUGAAACAUCUAAGUACCCCGAGGAAAAGAAAUCAACCGAGAUUCCCCCAGUAGCGGCGAGCGAACGGGGAGCAGCCCAGAGCCUGAAUCAGUAUGUGUGUUAGUGGAAGCGUCUGGAAAGGCGCGCGAUACAGGGUGACAGCCCCGUACACAAAAAUGCACAUAUUGUGAGCUCGAUGAGUAGGGCGGGACACGUGGUAUCCUGUCUGAAUAUGGGGGGGACCAUCCUCCAAGGCUAAAUACUCCUGACUGACCGAUAGUGAACCAGUACCGUGAGGGAAAGGCGAAAAGAACCCCGGCGAGGGGAGUGAAAAAGAACCUGAAACCGUGUACGUACAAGCAGUGGGAGCACGCUUAGGCGUGUGACUGCGUACCUUUUGUAUAAUGGGUCAGCGACUUAUAUUCUGUAGCAAGGUUAACCGAAUAGGGGAGCCGAAGGGAAACCGAGUCUUAACUGGGCGUUAAGUUGCAGGGUAUAGACCCGAAACCCGGUGAUCUAGCCAUGGGCAGGUUGAAGGUUGGGUAACACUAACUGGAGGACCGAACCGACUAAUGUUGAAAAAUUAGCGGAUGACUUGUGGCUGGGGGUGAAAGGCCAAUCAAACCGGGAGAUAGCUGGUUCUCCCCGAAAGCUAUUUAGGUAGCGCCUCGUGAAUUCAUCUCCGGGGGUAGAGCACUGUUUCGGCAAGGGGGUCAUCCCGACUUACCAACCCGAUGCAAACUGCGAAUACCGGAGAAUGUUAUCACGGGAGACACACGGCGGGUGCUAACGUCCGUCGUGAAGAGGGAAACAACCCAGACCGCCAGCUAAGGUCCCAAAGUCAUGGUUAAGUGGGAAACGAUGUGGGAAGGCCCAGACAGCCAGGAUGUUGGCUUAGAAGCAGCCAUCAUUUAAAGAAAGCGUAAUAGCUCACUGGUCGAGUCGGCCUGCGCGGAAGAUGUAACGGGGCUAAACCAUGCACCGAAGCUGCGGCAGCGACACUAUGUGUUGUUGGGUAGGGGAGCGUUCUGUAAGCCUGUGAAGGUGUGCUGUGAGGCAUGCUGGAGGUAUCAGAAGUGCGAAUGCUGACAUAAGUAACGAUAAAGCGGGUGAAAAGCCCGCUCGCCGGAAGACCAAGGGUUCCUGUCCAACGUUAAUCGGGGCAGGGUGAGUCGACCCCUAAGGCGAGGCCGAAAGGCGUAGUCGAUGGGAAACAGGUUAAUAUUCCUGUACUUGGUGUUACUGCGAAGGGGGGACGGAGAAGGCUAUGUUGGCCGGGCGACGGUUGUCCCGGUUUAAGCGUGUAGGCUGGUUUUCCAGGCAAAUCCGGAAAAUCAAGGCUGAGGCGUGAUGACGAGGCACUACGGUGCUGAAGCAACAAAUGCCCUGCUUCCAGGAAAAGCCUCUAAGCAUCAGGUAACAUCAAAUCGUACCCCAAACCGACACAGGUGGUCAGGUAGAGAAUACCAAGGCGCUUGAGAGAACUCGGGUGAAGGAACUAGGCAAAAUGGUGCCGUAACUUCGGGAGAAGGCACGCUGAUAUGUAGGUGAAGUCCCUCGCGGAUGGAGCUGAAAUCAGUCGAAGAUACCAGCUGGCUGCAACUGUUUAUUAAAAACACAGCACUGUGCAAACACGAAAGUGGACGUAUACGGUGUGACGCCUGCCCGGUGCCGGAAGGUUAAUUGAUGGGGUUAGCCGCAAGGCGAAGCUCUUGAUCGAAGCCCCGGUAAACGGCGGCCGUAACUAUAACGGUCCUAAGGUAGCGAAAUUCCUUGUCGGGUAAGUUCCGACCUGCACGAAUGGCGUAAUGAUGGCCAGGCUGUCUCCACCCGAGACUCAGUGAAAUUGAACUCGCUGUGAAGAUGCAGUGUACCCGCGGCAAGACGGAAAGACCCCGUGAACCUUUACUAUAGCUUGACACUGAACAUUGAGCCUUGAUGUGUAGGAUAGGUGGGAGGCUUUGAAGUGUGGACGCCAGUCUGCAUGGAGCCGACCUUGAAAUACCACCCUUUAAUGUUUGAUGUUCUAACGUUGACCCGUAAUCCGGGUUGCGGACAGUGUCUGGUGGGUAGUUUGACUGGGGCGGUCUCCUCCUAAAGAGUAACGGAGGAGCACGAAGGUUGGCUAAUCCUGGUCGGACAUCAGGAGGUUAGUGCAAUGGCAUAAGCCAGCUUGACUGCGAGCGUGACGGCGCGAGCAGGUGCGAAAGCAGGUCAUAGUGAUCCGGUGGUUCUGAAUGGAAGGGCCAUCGCUCAACGGAUAAAAGGUACUCCGGGGAUAACAGGCUGAUACCGCCCAAGAGUUCAUAUCGACGGCGGUGUUUGGCACCUCGAUGUCGGCUCAUCACAUCCUGGGGCUGAAGUAGGUCCCAAGGGUAUGGCUGUUCGCCAUUUAAAGUGGUACGCGAGCUGGGUUUAGAACGUCGUGAGACAGUUCGGUCCCUAUCUGCCGUGGGCGCUGGAGAACUGAGGGGGGCUGCUCCUAGUACGAGAGGACCGGAGUGGACGCAUCACUGGUGUUCGGGUUGUCAUGCCAAUGGCACUGCCCGGUAGCUAAAUGCGGAAGAGAUAAGUGCUGAAAGCAUCUAAGCACGAAACUUGCCCCGAGAUGAGUUCUCCCUGACUCCUUGAGAGUCCUGAAGGAACGUUGAAGACGACGACGUUGAUAGGCCGGGUGUGUAAGCGCAGCGAUGCGUUGAGCUAACCGGUACUAAUGAACCGUGAGGCUUAACCUU
rnacentral:rRNA from 1 species